AAAUAUGCUUAGGUUACUGUUGUAUGAGAUACCUACUCAAAAAAAAAAGAAAAAAAAGGAAUUCCUAUUGCAAUCAAGCAAAUUUAAAACACAACUAGUUUGGGAUAUGACCUUUAUUGAGCUUAUCCACUGGAGUGGAAAUAAUGUCUGUACAAAACCAAAUGUUUGUUACUAUAACUUCUGCAUCACAAUUAAAAUCCAAACAGUUUUUUAAAAACAGUCAACUCAAUCAAAACCCACUACUUCAGAAUCAAUAGCUUCUUUGAAGCCACAGUAACACUUAAAUAUGGUUAAGACUCGAAUGCAGAAAUUUGGUUGGUUGGAAAGCUAAUUAAACUUCCAACUUGCUCAAAUAGAAUUACAAAAAGGCAAAAUUGUGUUUUUCACAGAGAUACAGUCCACUGGAAUCACCAACACUGGACAGCUGUUAAGAGUAUUUAGAGUCCUGAGAUAAUAAGGAAUCCAGGCAUCCUUUAAACAGUCUUCUGUUGUCCUUUCUUCCCAAUCAGAGAUUUGUGGAUGUGUGGAAUGACACCUAGGAAAGGGACAGGGAUUAAUUCCACUUUUUAAUAUACACAUUUUAAAAACCACACCAUACUUAAAAACAAGACAGUCUGACAUUUAACUUGGAAGGUGUCUUUACAUGUACAGCUCAAGUAUGUAAAAACUCAUUCAGUUAUAUACAUAAACCAAAUUUCAUGAUGCAACCACACUGAAGAUCAGUGAAAAUAGUACUUCUGGACUAGAAAUUACUACUAAGAACUGAAGAAUGUUUUCUCCAAAGGAAUAAAAUUUAGUAUUUACAUACCACCACCAGCAAUUGUAGCCUUGAUGAGAGAAUCCAAUUCCUCAUCUCCACGAAUAGCAAGUUGCAAGUGACGAGGAGUAAUACGCUUUACCUUCAAGUCUUUUGAUGCAUUUCCUGCCAAUUCAAGUACCUACAAGGGAGAUUCUAAUCAAUCUCCUUCCAACUUUCCUUAAAGACCAAUGCCCAAGGGGUAGAAUCGAAUCUUCACGGAGAUACAUCUACCAAAUGUCGCCUUCCUCCACUACCUACCUGAAUGGCAACACUUGAAAAGGGGGCACGCAAUUUUAUUUCCAAGAGCAGCAAACUCAACCAAGCUCAGUAGGAUCUCGUAAUGAACACCAGCCCCCUCUAGCGUUCUCAGAAGCUUCUUGCCGCGUUUAGAGCCUGGGAGUUUUUCUUGCAUCACUUUCCUCCUUCCCUCUCGUCGCCACCCCCAACCCCCCCAAACCUUUUCCAGAUUAUAAAGCGUACACCCAUUUACCUCUGCGGUGAGGUACUCCAGGAUGGCUGCGCUGUACACAGCGGCAGUCGCGCCCACACGUCCAUGACUGGUCGUCCUAGAUUUCAGGUGUCGAUGAAUACGGCCCACCGGGAACUUAAUUUUAAGCACACAAACAUAAAUGCACAAAGAUGUUAGCGUCCAAGAUGGUAAUAUUACACGCGCGCCAAAGCAAGGGGUAUGGACGCUGGUGCAGCAACGCGCCCCAGCAUCGACACACGUGAUCGCCCCCCCCUUCGAUAUUUAUCGUAUCGGCAAACCAAGUCGCGACACCGCAUCACCCACGCAAAGACGAAACGCCCGUCUAGACCGAAGAUAAACAAGAAAAGAGGAGUAAAGAAAAACACCACGGCUCCCGGACUGCACGAACCACCACUGACCUGCAAGCCGGCUCUCUGCGAGCGGGAAACCGCCUUUGUCUUGGCCUUUCCGGAGUCCUUCCCAGCCUUACCGCCAGCCUGCGGCGCGCACACGCCCGCGAGCGAAGAAGGAACGGGGAAUAUAGGAUUACCAGGGCGGCGUGCCCCUCCCCCACCGCGGCGCG
rnacentral:lncRNA from 1 species